rnacentral:misc_RNA from 1 species
UACGUAGGGGGCAAGCGUUGUCCGGAAUUAUUGGGCGUAAAGGGCGUGUAGGCGGUUAUGUAAGUCAGAUGUGAAAGGCUACGGCUCAACCGUAGAGCUGCAUCUGAAACUGUGUAACUUGAGUGCAGGAGAGGAAAGUGGAAUUCCCGGUGUAGCGGUGGAAUGCGUAGAGAUCGGGAGGAACACCAGUGGCGAAGGCGGCUUUCUGGCCUGCAACUGACGCUGAGGCGCGAAAGCGUGGGGAGCGAACAGG